GCGGUGGAGCAUGUGGUUUAAUUCGACGCAACGCGAAGAACCUUACCUGGGCUUGACAUCUGCGGUAAUUCUAUGAAAGUAGGAAGUGCCCUUCGGGGAGCCGCAAGACAGGUGCUGCAUGGCUGUCGUCGGCUCGUGUCGUGAGAUGUUGGGUUAAGUCCCGCAACGAGCGCAACCCUUAUCUUUAGUUACCAUCAUUCAGUUGGGGACUCUAAAGAUACUGCCCCGGUCAACGGGGAGGAAGGUGGGGAUGACGUCAAGUCCUCAUGGCCCUUAUGUCCAGGGCUACACACGUGCUACAAUGGGCAGUACAAAGGGUAGCAAGCCUGCGAAGGUGAGCCGAUCUCAAAAAGCUGUUCGUAGUUCGGAUUGGAGUCUGCAACUCGACUCCAUGAAGCUGGAAUCGCUAGUAAUCGCGGAUCAGCAUGCCGCGGUGAAUACGUUCCCGGGCCUU
rnacentral:rRNA from 1 species